CAGCAGCCGCGGUAAUGCGAAGGGUGCAAGCGUUACUCGGAAUUACUGGGCGUAAAGCGUGUGUAGGUGGUUGUUUAAGUCUGUCGUGAAAGCCCUGGGCUCAACCUGGGAAUUGCGAUGGAUACUGGGCGACUAGAGUGCGGUAGAGGAUAGUGGAAUUUCCGGUGUAGCAGUGAAAUGCGUAGAGAUCGGAAGGAACAUCUGUGGCGAAGGCGAUUAUCUGGGCCAACACUGACACUGAGACACGAAAGCGUGGGGAGCAAACAGGAUUAGAUACCCCUGUAGUCCCUGUCUCUUAUAC
rnacentral:rRNA from 1 species